rnacentral:rRNA from 1 species
GAUGAACGCUGGCGGCGUGCUUAACACAUGCAAGUCGAACGAUGAAGCCCAGCUUGCUGGGUGGAUUAGUGGCGAACGGGUGAGUAACACGUGAGUAACCUGCCCUUGACUCUGGGAUAAGCCUGGGAAACUGGGUCUAAUACUGGAUAUGACUUCUCAUCGCAUGGUGGGGGGUGGAAAGAUUUAUUGGUCUUGGAUGGACUCGCGGCCUAUCAGCUUGUUGGUGAGGUAAUGGCUCACCAAGGCGACGACGGGUAGCCGGCCUGAGAGGGUGACCGGCCACACUGGGACUGAGACACGGCCCAGACUCCUACGGGAGGCAACAGUGGGGAAGAUUGCACAAUGGGCGCAAGCCUGAUGCAGCGACGCCGCGUGAGGGAUGACGGCCUUCGGGUUGUAAACCUCUGUCAGUAGGGAAGAAGCGAGAGUGACGGUACCUGCAGAAGAAGCGCCGGCUAACUACGUG